rnacentral:rRNA from 1 species
UAAGGAAUAUUGGUCAAUGGACGCAAGUCUGAACCAGCCAUGCCGCGUGAAGGAUGAAGGUCCUCUGGAUUGUAAACUUCUUUUAUCUGGGACGAAAACGGGAUUUUUAUCUCAAUUGACGGUACCAGAGGAAUAAGCACCGGCUAACUCCGUGCCAGCAGCCGCGGUAAUACGGAGGGUGCGAGCGUUAUCCGGAUUUACUGGGUUUAAAGGGUGCGUAGGUGGGCUUAUAAGUCAGCGGUGAAAUCUCCGAGCUUAACUUGGAAACUGCCGUUGAUACUAUAGGUCUUGAAUUAUCUGGAGGUAAGCGGAAUAUGUCAUGUAGCGGUGAAAUGCUUAGAUAUGACAUAGAACACCAAUUGCGAAGGCAGCUUACUAAAUAUAAAUUGACGCUGAGGCACGAAAGCGUGGGGAUCAAACA